GACGAACGCUGGCGGCAGGCUUAACACAUGCAAGUCGAACGCCCCGCAAGGGGAGUGGCAGACGGGUGAGUAACGCGUGGGAAUCUACCCAGAUCUUCGGAACAACUGAGGGAAACUUCAGCUAAUACCGGAUACGCCCUACGGGGGAAAGAUUUAUCGGUUCUGGAUGAGCCCGCGUUGGAUUAGCUAGUUGGUGAGGUAACGGCUCACCAAGGCGACGAUCCAUAGCUGGUCUGAGAGGAUGAUCAACCACACUGGGACUGAGACACGGCCCAGACUCCUACGGGAGGCAGCAGUGGGGAAUAUUGGACAAUGGGCGAAAGCCUGAUCCAGCCAUGCCGCGUGAGUGAUGAAGGCCUUAGGGUUGUAAAGCUCUUUCAGUGGGGAAGAUAAUGACGGUACCCACAGAAGAAGCCCCGGCUAACUUCGUGCCAGCCGCCGCCGUAACAC
rnacentral:rRNA from 1 species